GACGAACGCUGGCGGCGUGCUUAACACAUGCAAGUCGAACGGAAAGGCCCUGCUUUUGUGGGGUGCUCGAGUGGCGAACGGGUGAGUAACACGUGAGUAACCUUCCCUUUACUUUGGGAUAACUUCAGGAAACUGGGGCUAAUACCGGAUAGGAGCUCCUGCUGCAUGGUGGGGGUUGGAAAGUUUCGGCUGUUGGGGAUGGACUCGCGGCUUAUCAGCUUGUUGGUGGGGUAGUGGCUUACCAAGUCUUUGACGGGUAGCCGGCCUGAGAGGGUGACCGGCCACAUUGGGACUGAGAUACGGCCCAGACUCCUACGGGAGGCAGCAGUGGGGAAUAUUGCACAAUGGGCGGAAGCCUGAUGCAGCAACGCCGCGUGCGGGAUGACGGCCUUCGGGUUGUAAACCGAUUUCGCCUGUGACGAAGCGUGAGUGACGGUAAUGGGUAAAGAAGCACCGGCUAACUACGUG
rnacentral:rRNA from 1 species